AAAGAUUUGAUUUGUAUUAUAUACAAUAUGAUUUUUGAAGAAUGCUACAAAAAGUACAUAACAAGAAUGAAGCACAAAUUGCAUUCAGAAUCCGAUUGUGACUGAAAAGCAAAGCUGCUGCUGCUGCUACCUGAUUGAUUUCAUUCAGAAUUUUGGUGAGAUAUCAUGUUACUUGUCUUGAUUUGAUAUCCCAACACAAUCAUUCUAUUUCCCUUAUUUUGUAUUUAUGAUAUAAUACUUCCAACUUUUUAAAUGGAGUACAAUACCCAUAAAUUUACAACAAUAUUUGUGAUCAUAACACUAGUCAAAAAGUGAUUUAAUAUCUGAAGAGUCUUCAUUAAGGCCUCCUAAGUUGGACUUAGAAUCGGCACAAAAUCCUGCUCAUCAUUUCUUGUUUAAAACUAAUGUCUGUUUUUCUUGUUCCUUCUCAUACUACUAAUAGGCUCUAUAAAUGAAACACUGAAUUCAUUAAUGAGCUUUUUAAUCCCUUGAUUCUACAGAACAAGAUUUCAACUCAAACUACUUACCCUAAAAAAAAGAAGGAAAAAAGAUUUCAACUCAAAGUAGUAUCAAAUAAAAAAAAUCCAGAAAAAAUAAAAUAAAAAGAAUAUACUUCAAGCAUUUGAGUACAUAAACCAUCCUAUACCCCCAAUUACAAUAUACCUAAACUCCUUCAAGGUUGAAUAAACUUCAACCACAGUUUGCUUUAUCUAGUGAAUCACACCAAGAUGAGCCCAUAAGAAAAGUGUAAUUUGGGCAUCACAGAAAAAUUACAUACACAUACAUGAACACAUAUACUCAACAACGAAACUUCAAGCUUAUGCGAAACUUCAAUUAAAAGGGAAAACAAAUUACAUACACAUACCUGGUCGUGAUUCUCAGUGGAGAGAAGAGAGAAACUAGGGCACGGUCGCGAUUCUCAAAUCAAAUUUUGGUCUCCUUCACUUUUUAAUGUUUUCACCAAAGUCGCGAUUCUCAGUGAUUUGGAGAGAAGAGAGAACACAUUUGGAGUGUCUGCGAUUUGAUUUGGAGAGAAGAGAAAACGCAGAAGCUAGGGCUUGUAAUUGGGUGACUAGAAAAAAGACGGAUGGCACGAUUUUGGGAUUUUAGAAAAGACGCGGAAGGCUUAAAUAUUUAUGUUCUUCAAGGAGUUAUGUUAUUUAAGCCUUAUGCUUUUAAACUUGACUAUAUAUAUAUAUAUAUAUAUAUAUAUAUAUAUAUAUAUAUAUAUGCGCCGUGCGUGUAUGUGUGCUUUGAGUAUAUAUAUAUAUAUAUAUAUAUAUAUAUAUAUAUAUAUAUAUAUAUAUGUAGAGAGGAGUUUCAAUUCUUAGCCUACAUAAAUCCAACAUCACUAACAAUCAUUUCUCCCAACUUCUACACACCCAUUUCCCUUUUUCAGUUCCCUGGAUAAAGACACUUUAGCCAUACCAAUUAUCCUAAAAUAUACACCCUUACCAUUAUUAAGUAAAAAACGGAUAAAAUUGAAUAACCGAACCAAACUAAAAUUUUAUAACCGAAUUUUUUUGAUUAUUCAAAUAUUUUUUAUAUUUCAGUUAUAUCCGAUUUUAUAUUCGUUUUUAGGAUUCGAAUUUGAUUUUAAAUUUUUUAUUAUUCAAUUAACCGAAUAACCGAAUAAUAGAAAUUAAAAAAAUAAGGUUUAAAAGUUAAAACAAUAAUCUCUCAUCUAACUCUCUGUCUCUAAUCUUACUCUCUCAGUCUCACUCAAAUCUCGACUCUCAUGCCUCAUACUCUCACUGCUCAAAAGCCAAAACCCAAAUCGAUCUAUCAUCUCAGAUCUCGAUCUUGAUCUUGAUAUACCCUUAUCCCUCGCCCCUCAGAUCUCUCACUCACUGCCUUACAACCCUAGUGUCCUAACCCAAAAGUCAAAACCCCAGUCCCCAAAUCGCGACUCCGCUCUGCCUCCGAACGAACCAAAGUUUGGACAUAACCUCAUCCCAAACUCAACUCCGGCGCCAGAAAAGUCGUCGUCGUCUAUUAUCUCUCCAGAAGCGGCCAAGUCCAACACUCCCAUCUCGUUGAAGUUCCUCUCUCCUCCGGGCUCCGACGGUUUCUAUCUCCGAGGUAUCUACUUAUAUUUCCCUCCACUGUUUGGUUGCUUACUUGCUUACAAAAUUAAUCCCUACAGAGUUUAAUUAAUAAGCUUGAAGUUUUUGACUGAUGUAGUAAUCUAUGGCUAUGUUUUAGUUAUGCCAGUUUUAAUCUUCUUCUUUAUUAGUUAUUAAUUAAGAUUAGUGUUGGUUCUUUGUGGAUCACUGCUUAAAACUUGAAACGGGUACCUGAUCCAGCUUUGCUUGCAUAAUGCAUACUGUUAGUCUGUUACUGUAGUUUACAUGUGUUUGAGAAAUGAAUGACUGGAUAUUUAUUGUUUACUGAUAUGUUAAACAAUAUAGAAUUAAUUUUAAAGAAUUUAAUUAUUGAUCUUUGUUGUAUAAAAUUAUAUGGUUUGGAGUAUGUUAAACAUAUUUUUUUUCUCAAUUUUUUUAAUUGGAGUUGUUUAUUGGAUUCUGGGGUUUAGUUCGGGCAAUAAUGAUUUCCAGUAUGUUGCUUCAACUUCUUGCUAUUAAGAGAGUGGCCUUAUUUGUUCUUCAUAACAAAUAAUUCUAUUUCUUUUAUGAAUAACCUUUGCACACCUUUAUCUAUAUUUAUAUAAUUAACUUAAUUCAUCUCUCGAUUCAUCAUUCCAAUUCAAAAGCCCUGCCAUGGCCCAUGAGAAUGUUUUUGUUAAGACUUCAAGUCUGUUUUUGUGCAUGAUGUACUUCCUGUUCCGUUACAGAAAAUUUUAAUAGUUUUUGCUGGCCUUUUGUCCAUAGACAAUAUAUACCAUUAAGUGUAAAUGUUGCUGAAAAGUUCAGGUUCUUACUUUUUAUAUUUUCCACAAAAUGUAAGACAUAGCAACCUAGCUUGCUUCAAAUCCCCUAUAAUGUGAAGCUUGGACUUGAACAUUUUCCUGUUGGUUUUAUAAAAGAAUGCCUAUACCUUUUAUAACAUUUUUUGUCGGUAAAAAUAUCAAAACAAAGAAAUUUUAAAAGUGUUUGUUGUAUUAUCAACAGUAUUUUGAUGUGGUUAUUGCAGGCCAAGUCUAUAGAACAGCCAUGUUCCCAUUGUAAUGAGGGUUAGUAUAUUGAAUACUUUCUUCACUUAGUAUCUGGGGUCCUUAUUUCAAUUCAGCCUUGUGAAAUCUAAUAUGAAAUGUUGAUGCUCUAGUUCUGCAUUUGUGAUGUAAUACAAAACAGUUGAAAAGCACCAGUCUUUUAAGUAAAAGUUACUGUAGUUUCUUUCAAGUAUUAAUGGCAUUGUACUUGCAGCUAAAGCUAUGCGGAAGAAGUGCAAGGCCUUCCAGUGCUUCAAAAAAUUAAUGCAUGUUAAGCUUGGAGAGGCACAAUUAUCAGCUAAGAAAUUCUUGGUUCUGGCCUUCUGCACGCCUACUGACUGUUGUGCUACCUGCUGCACUACUUGAGCUUCUGGCUUUUGCUGUUACUUUUUACUUGUUAUCCUGUUAAGGUCUUGAACUCUUACGGAUUAUUAAUUUAUUAUGGACUAAUUAGACUUUGUGAAACUAUGGAUUAUGUAUUACUAAUUUUAAUCAUGUUAAGGUUUUGAAUUAUUAUGUAUUGUUAAUUUAAUCAUGUUUUGGCCAUUGACUGCUUCUACAGACUGUUGUAAAUUGUAAUGUUGUUAAAUACUUAAAUGUUAAUCAUGGAAGCCUUGUUAUUAUCCAAAUAACCAAAUUUAUCAUUCGGUUAUUCGGUAAUUUAGUUAUCUCAAAAUCGGUUACUUGUUCGGAUAUCAAAAAUUCAAAUAUAUAGAGAAG
rnacentral:lncRNA from 1 species